UGGGGGAUAUUGCGCAAUGGGCGAAAGCCUGACGCAGCGACGCCGCGUGGGUGAUGAAGGCCUUCGGGUCGUAAAGCCCUGUCGAGAGGGACGAAUCGGCCUCGACCUAACACGUCGAGGCCCUGACGGUACCUCUAAAGGAAGCACCGGCUAACUCCGUGCCAGCAGCCGCGGUAAUACGGAGGGUGCUAGCGUUGUUCGGAAUCACUGGGCGUAAAGCGCGUGUAGGCGGUCCACUAAGUCUGGUGUGAAAGCCCGGGGCUCACCUCCGGAAGUGCACUGGAAACUGAUGGACUGGAGUCCCGGAGAGGAGGGUAGAAUUCCUGGUGUAGCGGUGAAAUGCGUAGAUAUCAGGAGGAAUACCGGUGGCGAAGGCGGCCCUCUGGACGGUGACUGACGCUGAGACGCGAAAGCGUGGGGAGCAAACAGGAUUAGAUACCCUGGUAGUCCACGCCGUAAACGAUGAGCACUAGGUGUCGCGGGUAUUGACCCCUGCGGUGCCGCCG
rnacentral:rRNA from 1 species